GGCUCGGUGGUGGAUGGUCCAUACCUGCAUUCUUUGGUUUAUUUCUGUCAAAAUACGCAGGAAGAGCCCGUUCGAUUCGGGCCUGAGCCA